AUGUCUACCUGCUUCUCUGACCUAAUGAGAGAUCAUUCCCUAGAUUUUAUAGGCCUUCAGGAAACUAUGAAGAAAAAGUUCUCCCGUAAGUCUUUAAGAAAGAUGGACCCUUUCGAUAGAUAUAAUUGGAACUGGACUCCUUCUAUUGGCAAAUCUGGCGGUAUCCUUUGUGGUAUCAAGAAAGAAACUCUAGAGGUGGUAUCCUGGAUACCUGGUAACUUCCUUCUUCAAGCUAACUUGUACGAUGUUAAACACAAGAGUAUGUGGACCCUUGUAGUGGUUUAUGGAGCGGCCCAAGAUGAUAGAAAAGAGGAAUUCCUUAAUGAAUUAGCUUAUACUUGCUCCCAGAUUCAUGUCCCCUAUAUAGUGGGUGGAGAUUUCAAUAUCCUCCGCAGCAGUGAGGAGAAGAACAAAAAUUUGACACACUCUCACUACACUGACAGAUUUAAUGAUGUCAUACAAUCCCUGAAUUUAAGAGAAAUAUAUAUGGGGGGUAAAUACACUUGGUCCAAUAAACAGAAACAUCCUACUUUGGAGAAAUUACACAGAGUCCUCCUGAGUUUCGAGUGGGAAGAGCUAUUCCCAUUGGUAUCUGUCCGUAAAUUGGUAAGAGAUACUUCGGACCACAAUCCCUUGCUUCUGGCCACUGAU
rnacentral:rRNA from 1 species